rnacentral:rRNA from 1 species
GACGAACGCUGGCGGCGUGCUUAACACAUGCAAGUCGAACGGUGAAGCGCCUUCCUUUUUGGUGGGUGUGGAUGAGUGGCGAACGGGUGAGUAACACGUGAGUAACCUGCCCCCUUCUUCUGGAUAACCGCAUGAAAGUGUGGCUAAUACGGGAUAUUCUGGGUCUGUCGCAUGAUGGGUCUGGGAAAGAUAUUGUUUCGGUGGGGGAUGGGCUCGCGUCCUAUCAGCUUGUUGGUGGGGUGAUGGCCUACCAAGGCGGUGACGGGUAGCAGGCCUGAGAGGGUCGACGGUCACACUGGGACUGAGACACGGCACAGACGCCUACGGGAGGCAGAAGUGGGGAAUAAUGCACAAUGGGCGAAAGCCUGAUGCAGCGACGCCGCGUGAGGGAUGGCGGCCUUCGGGUUGAGAACCUCUUUCGCCAGUGAAGCAGGCCUGCCUGGUUUGUGGGUGGGUUGACGGUAGCUGGAUAAGAAGCGCCGGCUAACUACGUG